rnacentral:rRNA from 1 species
UACGGGGGGGGGUAAGCGUUGUUCGGAAUUACUGGGCGUAAAGGGCUCGUAGGCGGCCAACUAAGUCAGACGUGAAAUCCCUCAGCUUAACUGGGGAACUGCGUCUGAUACUGGAUGGCUUGGAUUCGGGAGAGGAAUGCGGAAUUCUCGGUGUAGCGGUGAAAUGCGUAGAUAUCGAGAGGAACACCUGCGGCGAAGGCGGGUUGCUGGGCUGACACUGACGCUGAUGCGCGAAAGCCAGGGGAGCGAACGGG